rnacentral:rRNA from 1 species
GGAAUAUUGGGCAAUGGGCGCAAGCCUGACCCAGCGACGCCGCGUGAGGGAAGAAGGUCUUCGGAUUGUAAACCUCUGUUGAUAGGGACGAAAACAAUGACGGUACCUAUCGAGGAAGCCACGGCUAACUACGUGCCAGCAGCCGCGGUAAUACGUAGGUGGCAAGCGUUAUCCGGAUUCAUUGGGUGUAAAGGGUGAGUAGGCGGGCUUGUAAGUCAGAUGUGAAAUGCAGAUGCUCAACAACUGAAUUGCAUUUGAAACUGCGAGUCUUGAGAGUCGGAGAGGUAAUUGGAAUUCCCAGUGUAGCGGUGAAAUGCGUAGAGAUUGGGAGGAACACCAGUGGCGAAGGCGGAUUACUGGACGACAACUGACGCUGAUACACGAAAGCGUGGGGAGCAAACA